UACGAAGGGGGCUAGCGUUGCUCGGAAUUACUGGGCGUAAAGGGCGCGUAGGCGGAUAGUUUAGUCAGAGGUGAAAGCCCCAGGGCUCAACCCUGGAAUUGCCUUUGAUACUGGCUAUCUUGAGUUCGGGAGAGGUGAGUGGAACUCCGAGUGUAGAGGUGAAAUUCGUAGAUAUUGGGAAGAACACCGGUGGCGAAGGCGGCUCACUGGCCCGAUACUGACGCUGAGGCACGAAAGCGUGGGGAGCAAACAGG
rnacentral:rRNA from 1 species